GACGAACGCUGGCGGCGUGCUUAACACAUGCAAGUCGAACGGGCUCUGUCUGGCUGUGUGCUGGGUGGGGUUAGUGGCGAACGGGUGAGUAAUACGUGAGUAACCUGCCCUCUUCUUUGGGAUAAGCCUUGGAAACGGUGUCUAAUACUGGAUAUUCCUGUUUGGUCGCAUGGCUGGGUGGGGAAAGUUUUUUCGGUGGGGGAUGGGCUGGCGGCCUAUCAGCUUGUUGGUGGGGUGAUGGCCUACCAAGGCGUCGACGGGUAGCUGGCCUGAGAGGGUGCCCAGUGACACUGAGACUGGGAUACGACCCAUACGGCAGCGAGAGGCGGCGGAUGGUGGUAUUUGACAGUGAGCGUAAGCCUGAUGCAGCGAGGCCGUGUAGGGGGUGACGGGUUUGGGGUGGUAAACCUCUUGCGUCGAGAGACAAGGCUCUGCUUGGUGGUGGGGUUGAGGGUACCCAGUGAAGAAGCGCCGGCUAACUACGUG
rnacentral:rRNA from 1 species